rnacentral:rRNA from 1 species
AUGCUCAUGACAGCCCAUGGGCUCCAACUACCUUCGCUGCCUCCCAAUGUUCGAGUCGUCACGGGGAGGAGCUGCAGUUGUGCCUCCCCAUUCGCCUGUUCUAGUCACUGUGAACUGCAGGUUGCUCCGCCCAGUCCUGUUCCAUGUCUGCAAUGUAUAUGCUGCAGCUUGCACAAUUUGCUGCAAUGCGGUGUUUUUCUAUUUCAGGUAGCUAAGUCUGUUACCAAAAACUUGAGCAUGAUGACCAUGAUGUUGACAUGUCCAGAAAGGAUCAGUUUUUACCAAAAACUUGAGCAUGAACAUCUACACAUUUUACCAAAAAAUUGA